AUAUAGCACAGAUUAUAAAAAACAGCAAUUUCUUAAUAAAAACAUUGAAGAAACACAUAUAUAUUAUUUAAACCAAAAGACAUCCCUCCCUCUCUUUCACACCAACCACACUGGACGGAACCCUUUUGACAUUUUGUGUAUUUUCAUUUUAAAGGUGUCUGGUGUUUGCAUGUGUGGGCACAUGUGUGUUAAAAGACAGUGAAGUGAAGGUGUGAAGGUGGCCUGUGUUUAGCGUCCAGACCUGGCAGAUUGUGACCUUAUCAAUGUGAAACUCUUAAGAUAAAUUAUUCAUAGCACCUGUUUGAUGUCUCCGGCCAAAGAAUGACAAAGGUGUAAGAUUUAAGAUCCGUCUCAAAAGCCAUGAAUAUCAGCCGCUGUGCUACCUGUCCUUUUUUUAAGAGGAGAAAAAGAGAUGGAUAGGCUGCAUUUCAAACCAUGAAAAUGAACAAUUUGUUCCCUUACAGGAGGUGCAGACGAGAGCAGCCAGAGAACAGCCAGAGAUACAGUACAGUAGCAGAGAGCAACAUGGCGGCCAGGUGUUCAGAAACACAGCGGGACGUGUCGGUGUGGUGCAAGGAUUGACACUUGGAUGAGAUAAUGCUACCACCUGUGUCUUUAGAGGCAAAAAGGGGGGGGGUAUCGGAAUUCCUUUUUGGAAAGCUGGUUAAGGUAAGUGGCACCCUCUAUUAAAAUGACACAGCAAAUGAUGGUGCUGCCAGUUGUGUUUCUGCAUUACGGGGUUUUUUUUUUCAUGGAAUGACCCCGGCUUCCUAAGCAUCACCACCCUCUAUCAAAGCUCCAGCUACAAGUCACUGCUUUAAAAACACACGCGGUCACCAUUGAUGAACGUCAGCAGAGCAACCUCAGUGCCACAAGGGAGCCUGGAGACCAACAAAGCCGGCUGAUACAGUAACAGAGUGGAUCAUGCUCUUGAAAUUGCUUUCAUAAUGAUAAUUGUGAUAUCAUUUGAUGUCGGCUGUUGUGUGAUUCAUCGGAGGGUACAGCUGCUUCACAUGGAUCUUGGCCUGGACAGGACUGUUUCCUCACAGGGCAGCUGAUCACAUGACUCAAUCACACGGAUAGAUCUGAGCUCUAAUUGGCCGUGCAAUGGCCGUCACUGAGGCAAAUCUGGGUGCAUGUGUAUGGCUCUCUGCUUUGAAUAGUAAAAUGUUGGGUUGUUUUUUUAUCUUGCUAGGCAGAAGGGCAGUGAGUUCUGUGUAUGUUUAUGGGUGGGGAGUAGACCAAGGACUGCUUUAAUGAUGUACAAUGCAAAAUAAUAUGUCAUCACGAGUACAAUCUGCUAUGAUCUGCAAUUGAAACAAUGCAGUGCUAUAAUGUGCCGCUGGAAUGUUAAGCAAUGAGUGUAAUUUGUGGCUUCAGUUUAUCUGUACAUUACAGCAAAGCUUUCCUAUAUCCUCUCUCUUUCUCCCUUCACCUCAUGGCCCCAGUUUCACCCUAUAUUCUUUCCCACCCAAGUUAUGUCCAUGCAUUAAUGACCAGUUGGCUUGCUUGUGUGUCCAGUGUAAAUAAAUAAUAAAGCUCUCCUAUCAUUCUCAUAACCAUCAGCUUGGUGGGGUUAAAGCAGACAGCAAGCGACAGGCAACAGGGAGAAUAUGUGUAGGCGUAUGUGUGCAAUCAUGGCCAUGUCCAUGGUGCAGUUUAGCUGAUUGUGUUUACGUCCCUUUCCUCCUCCUCCUCCUCCUGCUCUGUAUGUCCACAGGCAAC